GGGAGCGCUGCCCGCCGCCGCCGAGCCGCGGCAUUUACGGGCGUUUCCCACAGGAGCGCAGCUCCCGGCGAUGGCGGCUGGGGAAGCGGCAGAGCGUGGAGGCAGCGCUGCGGCAGGAACCCGGCGCGGCUCCUCUGCCCGGGCAGCCGCUGCAGGUGCCUCAGCGCCAGGUGCCUGCCACGGCCCACCUUCACGGGGAAGGAAGCAGCCGAGGUUCGGCAGUGCUCGCCGUGGAAAACAACGACGAAAGUCUGAGGGCCCGCAAGCGAUCAGAAAGUUUUACUAGUAAAUUACACACUUGACAUGGAAAUCGACCUUCAGAAAAAGAUGAAAAGAAGAACAGAAAAAUUGUCUGAAUUGCAAGGAUCUGCUUGUAUUCCUUUUCCUCACAAUGAAAUUCACUUGCUGAGGUGUCAGACUGGAAAAAGGAAGAAACCGUGCUCCAAUGACCACAUUAGGAUAAAAUAAAAGAAAGAAUGAAACCCCCUAGUCACCACAAACUUUCAGUUAUUAUUAUUUCAAUUACUGAUAAACUUUUGUACUUGUUGGUCCAGAAUGUUUACAACUCGUUAUUUAAUAUAUUAAAUAAUAUUCUUAAGGUCAAGAAUACAUAUAGAUAUAUAUAUAUAUAUAUUAACUUUAUUAAUGGAUACCAAAGGAGCUCUGAAAACCAAAUUGACCUGCAUUUUGAUCACAAGCUCUAAUACUCUUCUUAUAAGCAGAGAUAUAUAGUAAGAACCCACACACUUGGUAUUAUCAAUGUAAUUUCCACAUGAUUACUCCCUUCUUUCUUUCUGCUUUUCCCACACCAGCAACUGACCUAAGUGAAGUUUAAGCAACAUUUGCACCAGUUAUAUCACAGCUUUCUGAAAAGUACUCCUUUACCUGACGGUAGUUGUCACAAAAUGCUAGAGUGCGUCACUGCAGUCUGCUCAGGGUUUCGCGUUUGCUUCGGGUUUACUUUGCAACAUUUUGGUCAAAACGUUACUUUUAAGAGCUGUUCCACCACAGUUACUUUUCAUUCUACUAAUGGUUAUAAUGUAAUUUCAGUAGGGUUUGUUAGGUUGUUUUUUUUCUCUUUCUCGUUGCCAACCAAAACCCGAGAGCAGAAGGCAAAGAGCAGGAGCAUUUCCCAUCCUCCCAUCCCAUCCAAGCCCUGAAUUACCGUUAAGUGAAUGUUGCUAAGCCAUUCGUUGGGGUUAGAAAUAAUUAAGACAAACAAUUUAAUCAAUCAAGGUUUUCAGAUCUUACAGCCUGUUUUAGCAGUACUUUAAAAGCCAUUCUGUGAUAAAAGACCUCUUCUGAAGUAUAUCAAGAACUAGAUUACAGAAAUCUCUAUUGGAGUUGUUCUUGUUACCACUAAUUGUACAGUCGCACUCAUAUAUAGCAGUGAACUCCAUGUGCAGAAAACCAAAGCAAAUAUUGAACUUUCCUUAGUACAAAUUCAGAGACCCAGAUCCAGGAGGCUUUAAUCAAAAUUCCAAUUAACUUCAAAGAGUUUUACUUGAGUAAAAAUUGCAAGCAGAAUCUAGUACAGAAAAAAAUUACCAUUUUAAUUGCUGCUAGCCUGAUUAAGCGAUUCAGCUUCCAGUUGAUACAAGCACUUACAUUAACACUAAAAAUUUAUUAAUGGUCAUUUAUAUUCUACAAAGCCUAAUCCUGCCUAAGAUUUUUUUUUCCCCCCCCUCAGAAGACUGCAGCAAAGAUUAGCAUAGCUUCAAAACCACUCAGCACAUCCCCGAAGAAACGCCGCUUGGUGAGGCUUCAAGAAACGACCUUGCAGCAGAAGCCUGCCCUGGCAGCCUCCGUAAUGUCCCGGAGCCAGCAGCCCUGGGGAGCCGGACCGUCGAUGCCUGGUGCAAGGUACCGCUGAGCCGGUGGGUGAACCGGCCUCUCCCACUGCGGCGCUGCGUGCCUAAUUUUAGGCUCUAAUUCUUUAGAAUCUAAUAGAAUCCUUCUCUUUGUCAUCUAAAGUAGAUGUCUCUCAUCCUGCUGCCCUGCAAGCACAGGUUCAGCUCAUUUGCACAUCGCGGUUUCGGCAGGCAGCCUCCGAACGCAUCGCAGGAGUAAAGAGCAGCAAAAAGGUGCAGUCGGUGCUGCCCUGGCCCGGGCAGCAGCCCCGUCUGUCCCAUGGAAGGCACAGGCAGAAUGCACCACGUAUCAGUGCAGUUAAGCCCAAGGGCACCAGGAAAACUAUCCUGUCGGUAUGCUCUCAUCAAUUAGUAUUUUUAACGUUAGUUUCUUAAAACGCGUGGAAGGAAUGCAGCUGCCCCCUGCUGCCAGUUGGCAGAGCCUCGUCUUACCCGGAGCUCUUGGCAUCAGCAGCUCUCGAACAGUGUGUUUAAAUCUGUGCCGCUGCGUGCUCCUCACCUGGCUCUGCUCCCCGCACAAGGAUUUCCCCAGGCUGGACGGCCAGCGAGCCCCAGCCCAAAGCAGUGCUUUGCCUCCGGGUAUUACACAGCAGACACAAGGAAAACAAACGCGGAAGUCCUCUAGCCCUACCGAAGGAGAUAGGGGGUAGAGGAAAGAUCAUCUGGCCCCAGCAGAGGACCCCUGAGAGCUCUGGUUGAGGUCAGGCAUGAAGAGAAAUACUUUCCGUGCCAUUUUGCUUCGAUCCGUAACCAAUUUUUGCCCAGCAGGGGGUUCCCCCCCUGCCCUUACACAGCAUACAGCACAGUUGUUAACUGCAGCCUUCCACGUCUUCAGAUGUGAGCACCCAGCACUCCUCUUUAAAUGUGGUCCCUAGAGGACCAUUUUAGUGGGAUGGUAAACCAGAAUCCCAGACUGUUCCUCUCAAUCCAACACACCUGGCACUUGUCCGUCAGUAUAGGGUCAACCUGGUGGGGCAGAUGUUUUCCUCUGCACCUCGUCUUACAGCCAGGUGCAGCUGGGAAUCACCAGGUAGGUGCUUCUUCCCAGACUUCCUUGAAGAGCUCAGCUACUUCCCAGAACAGGAUCAGUGCAAAAAAUAGCAGCUACCACUUUGUGCAAAUGCCACUGGAAGAGGGUUUGUUGUAUAUUUUAAAUGAUAGCUCAGUAAUUAUUGCACAAACCCAGUAGUGAUGGUGAUCAAGGUCCUGUCCCUUCUCUGUCUUCAGAGCCAUAAAAUCCCACCUUCUGGGAGACUGCCCCUGAACACCAGAUUAUUCUCUUUUUUAAGAGCAAGGGCAUUACAUAUUCACACACUGAAUCACUUGCUCAAUUCAAGACUAAUUCAGAGCUCACUGGGCCAUGGAGCAGCUAUGGCAUGGUGCUUUUCCUGGGCAAGAUGAGAUUUGUGUCCCAACCACAACUCCUGGCUGUAUGUACAUGUCAGUCAGUGCUGACUCACGCAAAAUUCUUAAACAUGUCCUAGUGAAGGUGCUGAAGCACUGAUUUCUGCUUUCCAAGAUAAACACUUAGCUAGAGAUCAGUCUUCUUCUCUCUGGGCCGCUUUGACUGUCACAGCAAGAGUGAACCUUGCUGGUUUGGUACACAAAACACACACUUCAGAUAAAUUCCUCUAUAGGAAGCUGUAGUAGGAUUUUCAUUGCUCUGGAGCCUAGACUUAAGUGUGGGUGGGCAAGAGAAAAUAAGUGCUUUUGUGGUUUGUUUUCUUUAAAAAUAUUUUUGCGGUUUCAAUGAAAUUGAGUUUUGUUGUUUCAAUUAAUUUGAGUUUUGUUGUUUUAGUGAAAGCCUACCCAUCUGUGGACAUAUGAUAUGCCUUUGAAAUGCCUUGGCUCCCACAUGCUCUAUGGAAACUUCUUCAGCUGUUCAUUGCUUAAAACUUCCAAAGACUCCCACUCUCAUGUGUGAUCUUCUCCUGGCACCGCCUGUUUGUAGGGCAUCCAGCCCUAAAAAUGUUUCUUUUCACGGAGGACUAUUUGCAUGUGAGACAGUGUACGUCCCCUGUUCUUUCCUUUAUGAAGGGCUAGAGUGGCAGUGCUCACUUCCUUCCCCUUAAAACACUCCAAAGAAUUUGAAAGAUUUUGAAAUGGGUUAUGAAUGCUAUGGGUUUAGAACUGCUUCACACUUAGCUGAGGGUUCAACAUCAGUGCAGUCAUGACAUGAUUGGUGUUUGUGGUCAGCUCUGCUGCUUUGGUGCCAGAAGCAAGCUCCCAGCCUUCAUGCCAGGACAUGUCUGGGUUAUACCCUUGGGAUGCUGAACCUGGGAGGUGCUCUCCACACAUUAGAGACCUACCAUAUUAAACCUGCCAUAUGCCCUGCUAUGCCAUGCCGUGUGAGGUAGAUUGGGCUGCUGGGAAGAGUGUGUUACAGUCCCUCCUGGCUGAGGAGAAUGCUUAGCUCAGACCCUCCAUUUCUGGGGAAGGGCUCUGAGCACCCUGCUGCCAUCUGAGCACCUGGCUGCACUCUGUGACAGCACCUUUAAAGAGGCCUCUGAUCUGGUGGGUGCCUAACCUGAGAUCACAAAAGAAAAGGUAAAGGGAGAAGGAAGAAUGCAGUGCCCUAACUCCUAAGCUCCAGGGAGAGACUGAACUUCCCACACUGUCUGCCUGCUGCCUCAAGGCAGCUCCCUGCCCUGGGUGAUGGCUUGUCCCUUGGGAUGCCUCCUUAUAUCAGCAGAAGCCAGAAAUCAGUGCAGUCCUGGGUGGCACCUCAGUGUCUUGCUCUCUGGAUAUGAGAAGGCAGUUGCUGUGACCAACAUGAAGCUUACACUUUGUGUGGAAUAUUUGUUCUUGACAGUAUUUGUCCUUGACAAUGUCCUAUGUAAAAACCAACCACCAGCUUGUUUCUUCCUGAGGGAAUGGCCUUUAGUACCUUGAGAGCCAUUCCUGAUCCUCAUGCUUGACCACUGUCCUCACAAACCAAACAGAACCAAGCUCCUGCCUCCUGAAAGAUGGGAGUUCAUGGCUUGUCAUCCAGGUGGGUCCUGCUGAUGCAUGACAAACAAGAGAGUGAGUCCCAGGAGAAGGGUGCAAAUUACAACAAUACAUGGUGUCAUUGCUUUGCCUUGUCCCCUGGAAGCUCUAUUUCCAAAAGCGAUGUGGAAAAAGGAGUUAACUCUUACUUGUUACUCAGCUACUCUUGACUCGUUCUGUGUAUGUGGGUUUGUGUAUUUGGGCUCAGCAAAAAGCUGCUCCUCAACUUAUUCACAGAACAGGGUUAUUAUUAUCUGCUGCCUAACAGCAGGGUUGCAAGGAUCAAAUAAGUAGUUUUUGAAACACUGUGAGAGGGAUGAAAGGCAUUAGAGAGUAAUUAAGUGCCCUACUAAGUGCCUUUGCCUGAUUUCCCUUCACACAGCAGCAUCCAUGUGGGCUCUGAGCUGCGCCUGUUCAUUAGGUGGCACUACAGGCCCAAGAUUCCAAGUGUGAGAGCGGUCUCCAGAGGGCUCCGCUGGGUCUGGACAGCAGUUUGUAGGUUCGGACACUUCACUGCCCUAUUGGCAUACAUUUUUUCCUGGGGAAACAUGCUGUCCUGAAAAAUAGUGGAAGAACACAGGCUUGGUAUUGCAAGUGCAAAGCAGCAGCAACUGAGACUUCUGAUACAGCUGUCUGGGAUUGAGGUCUCCAACAACUGCAGGGGGAGCCUGUAACUGCUUGGGGUAAAUCCCAUACCUGGGACCUGCAGCCCAUCCUGCUCACCCUGGCUGCAGCAAGACAGUGCGAAGGGGCUGCUGCUUUCCUCUGAACUGGGAGACAGCACAGUCAAUCCUCUCAAAGACCUCAUCCAUUCUCCACUGGCCUGUGGAGAGGCCUCAAAGAUGUUCCAGAGACACAUGAUCUUCAAGGAGAGGGCACCAUGCUAUUGUACCUGCUCCUUUUGCCUCUGCUGCAGAGCUGGCAGUGGUGUCCAGCACCUGCCCCAGGGCCUGGAGCCGCCUGUGCUUUUGAGUAAAAGAUCCACAACACAUCUCAGGUUGUGGCUUUUCCAUUGACACAUCCUGAGCUGAACUCAGGUCGGGAAAGUGCCUAUGUUCUCUUACAGCCCUUCCAGCCACCUUCUUCCUCACCUUGGUUUCCUUGGCAUUUCCCUGGUUAAAUGUUUACACAAGUUUUGAAAGCCAGGGAGUGUGUGGGAAAGAUCUGGGAGUGCUUCCCUUGAACAGUUUGGGUUUAGGUGUUUUAACUCCCUCCUCCCAUGCUGCCAGUUUUUCCUGGCCUGGCACAGUCCUGGCUCUGUUAAGGCACACCUGACUUGGCUGACAACUGACACAGCUGCUCCCAUCCCAGUGCUCCACUAGAGCUGAGCCUGGGCUCCUCCAUUCCAGCUAGCAGCUUAGUCAUUCUCUAGCCCUGGGUCAGUAACCUGCAGUCUACUCAGUGCCCCUCUGUCUGAAGCUGAAAGAUAAAUGCCCUUGAAAUCUGAAGUAACCACGAUAAUUUUAUUUUGAACAGGAAAAUGGACUGUUUUUUCCCCUUAUCUAAUUGAUUAGGAAUGUCAAAUAUUCUUUUCUGUACGCAGUGCAUGCCUCUUACUUAUGUAGGAAGCAGCUGGUCUAGGGAAUGAGCCAAACACUUUUUUUAACUAGAAAAAAUUGAGCUUUCUUUUGGGACUUGGGGAGCUGUCACUGUAUUUCAUCAUGAGCUGACAGAUAGAAUCCAUCUCUCUGCUUUUCCUUCUGCGUCCUGACAUGUCUCUGGGAAAUGCCUGCCAUGUCCCUGCUUCAAAGAAAACUGCAGGUGUCUGGGAGAAUGGGGGCGAGGAGGGGUCACUGGGGCAGUCAAGCCAAUGGGAUGUUCACAGCUCAGGAGCCACAUCUGGGCACCUGAUUAACAUCAGGAAAAAAUCUUGGCUUUUGUCUGUGUGGACUUCUGUCUACUUCUAUUUUUGCACAUUGCUGAGCAGUACUAGAUGCAGCAGUUACUAUCUAGAGGAUGACAUUAGCUUUGCAUCCGCGUGACUUUCUAAUUCUUUCUGUAAUGGGCUUAAAAUGGAGCGUACGUUCCCGUUUUUCUCAGUAGACAGUUACGCUUCCCAUCUGAAAUUAUUCAGCCUUACACUGCACUUCAGAAAAAACUUUCUUAGGAAGAGCCAGGAACUGCAGCAUAGGUAGAUUUGUUUCUGAGGAAAACUGUUUCUUCAGCAAGAUUGAUGGGUACCAGCACCAUCUACUUGCAAAACCCAAUAGAAAGUUGGCUCUCGGUACAGUUUGGCCAAAUGGGUGAUUGAACCCCCUUAAAAGAUGUAGGAUUCUGUUGGAUCACUAGUCAUUGGAAGUUCAUGUCAAGAAAGUUGCCAAUGAAUAUUUGAAUGAAAUUAAUUUUGUGGGAUAACUUUAAAAAAUAAAGAAAAAAUAGAUAAUCAGUGUUACAGAUGUCACUGUAAAGCUGUCACUACAUCUGUGCCUCGUCCCGAAGCAGACUGCUGCAACUCCUCAUGACCAUGGCCAGCAGUUUUCAUGGAAUCCUAGAAUGGUUUGGGUUAGAAGGGAACUUUAAAGAUCAUCCAGUCCAACCCCCCCUUGCAAUGAGCAAGGACAUCUUCAACUAAAUUAACCUGCUCAGAGACCUGUCCAAGCUAACUGUGAAUGUUUCCAGGGAAAUGUCAUCCACCACCUCAUUAGACAACUUUUGCCAGUGUUUCACCACCUCACAAAGCCUUCUAUCUAACCUAAAUUCAAAUUUUAGUGUUGGGGGUUAGUAGUCUGUUGUGAGGGGCUGUACAAAAUACAUGGUAAGGAAAGCAUUAAGAAGUAAUUUUAUCUCCAGUAAUAUCUCUGUUCACCAAAGGAGAGAGGAGAAAUGGAUCCUGGUGGAUCAUUGAACUACUGAGGCUGGCAUCAUCUGCAAGAGGUUUAUACCUGAGUUAAGGGAGCAGGGAGGUACCAAACAGGUGGGCUAGUGUCCUACAUCUCCUUUAGUGAAUGUUUAUGUGACUUCUCAGCACUCAGCCAUGGCUGAUAUCACACCAUUGCUUUCCUUCCCACUUUCUGUGAUACAGAUGAACUUGGCAGGUUUUCAUCAUGCAUCCCAGAUGUGUACCUGGUACAAGUGGGGGACAAGAUAGAGCUAGGGAUGGACUUUCACAGUCAAAAUAGCACAUAUUCCAUGUGGCAGGUUGCUGUGGGAAGUGAUCAUUCUGAUAGUCACCUUGAAAAUACCUCAGUUUGUUGAGUUGGUGUGGCACUGACACAGCCAUGAACAGGCUCACAUGUGAGGUGCCUGUGACCAGCAAUGCCCACCACUUAUCUACACAGGCCUCCAAGUCUGAGCCCUGAGGAACAUUAAAAAUGGUUUAAAGACCAUAUACGCAGCCUGACCUGAAUAUACUCCUUUUGUACUGUAGUUGUCUGGUGCUUCCAAGUGCCAUUAGAAAUGUGGAUUCAUGGUUGUUAUCAGGGCUAUGGUCAGAAUGACACUCUUAAAGCUGAAUAUUCAGCAGUAUCUGAGCUGCUGAAUGCUGCUUGAUGAUCUUGUAAGGACAAGGGAGCUGAAAAAGCUUGAUGUCACCUGGUCUGGCAGAAAACACUGCGAUUUGUUUAAUCAGCUAGCCAAACAACCUUCAGCAUCUGCUCCCUUAACAAAAGAGGCCAAGCAACAACCAUUUUCUGGAUAAAAGUUUCUGCCAAGGUCUCACGGGCAGGAGGGAGAUGAACCAACAGUGCUGCUCUUUGUCACAGACCUGGUGUCCAGGGGCUGCCCUGGACAUAGGGGCGAAUAUGGACAACCUGGUUGUUCCUAUCAGGCACCAGUACUCCUGUGUGUACACUGUAAGUGUUUGGAUUUGUCUUUUCCAGGUUUUUACUUGUGUUAUCAGGAGCUGGUGAAUUGCCAAAGGUUUGGCAGCUGAUAAAAACAAGUGCCAUGCCAGAUCCAGGGAAAACCCCACACUCAGAUGCGAGUUGCUAGUCCCAGCAACUCUUUCCUAUGUGUUUUGAGGUCCCUGAGGGACAUAUUCUUUGACAGCACUGUUGGAGGACAAGGCAUAUUCUGCAUGUUGAGCAAGAUGGAUUUUGCUGAGACAGUGGUUCCCAUGAUCAAGUUUAAGCAAUAACUGUAGCUGUUAAAUAAAUCAAGAGUGGAGCUGUGCUCCUGGACUUGCUGCUGCUUGUCAUACACUGGUACAUUGUUCUCCUGGGGUGGGAUUCACUGUUCUUGGCAUUUGCCAGCUAAAAAUUAAGCACCUUCAAUUGAGCUGAGUGAAAAUGAAGCAGUCAAACACUAACAGCCCUUGUCUCCUUCCCUAGACAAAAGAGAGUGUUGAGCACUGCCACAGCAUGAUUCAUCCCAAAUUUAAAAAAUUUAAGCCAGGGAAUCAAGUUCUUUUUCUGGACAUGCCCAUCUCACUCUGUAGAUUAUUGAGGGACAUGAGACAGCUGGCUGAGACUCCAGAGCCAGUGUUUAGACAUCUGUUCUAAGACAAAUCCCACUGAUGUCCACCACACAGAUUUGGGAAUGCAUGGAGGGCACAGCAAACACAGGGGUGGUACAAACAUUCAGACUUCUGCAGAGCUGCAUGCUAUGUUCUAGCUCUCCACCAGUUUCCUUCCUAACUCCCACUAAUCCAUCUCCAGCACCUCUUUGACAUGGUUGACUUUGUUCAGAAACCGUCUUUCACUGACCAAGAGGUUGGUCAGUGACAUCAUUUUGCUGAUGAGACUGACACCCUUAUAGCAGGGGACAGGCUCAUCUUGUGAUGGCAGAAGAACACACCAAAACAGUGCCAAGAAGAUCUCACCUUCACAAAGCAUUUAUUUUUACCCAGAACACAAAUCCUUACUCAGAGGCAGGAACUAACACUUGAGCCCAGGCAAUGCAGGUAGGUGGGACCUCGGAUCUGGCUUUUCUGAAUUGCCUCAGGAAUGUCAGCGCGCAAAGUCAAUCCUUGAAACAAAUGAGUUUGCUCAACUUCGGGUGUCAGUGGGCAAGUACACCAAAUACCUACUAGACCUGCCACCUGCUGCUCCACUGCUGCAUCUGUCCCUCUUGCCUUGUGCCAGGACAAGGCUGGCCAGCCAAACGAGCUGUUGACUGAGCAUUGAGCCACUGGGUCCGUUUUGCCCAGCAGCCUGUGUUCUCAUGUAAGAAAGCAGAAAUCUGAGGAGAUGCAUAUAGAGCUGAAGUGAUGUCAUUUUGUGCACAAAGGCCUCAGUUUGGUUUAAAGAAGGACAACUCCUUUCUCUCUUGCACCUGUUAUUUAAUCAGCAAUCCCAACAAUCCUCAGACAAAAGAGAUAUGCAUCUGACCAGCCCCUUAGAGACUGUUGAUUGACACUGCCAACAAGCAAGAGGCAUGGUAUCUCAGAUGUUAAAUUUUUCAGGAAAAAAGCUGGAAUAAACAAAACUAGUUUUACUUGGAUUCCUCCGCAACACAGACAUUUGAAUACAGUCAGUUGGGUGCCAGUGACACUCAUUGGGAAGAGAAAUCCCGAAGGAAAGAAAACUGACCGCAAGCCAAAUGGGAACUGAAGAGUCAAGGUGCAAGUAAGAGGGGUUCCCCUCAUCCCAGUCUGGAAGCCUGGCCAGAAAUGUCAUGAAGGCAUUCAUUCCCUGUGUAAUGAAUAUUGCUCUCUUCUUCUGUUGUAUUUAAUCUGGCAAUAAACCAGCAUGUGUGA